rnacentral:misc_RNA from 1 species
CCUCCCCCUAUUUUCCCAUCACUCGUUCCUCCCCAAAAAGCUACAAUACAAACUUUAAAAAAAACCCAAAAAAUUUCAAGUCUAUAAGAAAACGAUGUCAGAGGUUUGAGAUUUUUACUUGGUGAGAUUCACUCGCGCACCAGAUUUU